AACGAACGCUGGCGGCAUGCCUAACACAUGCAAGUCGAACGAGACCUUCGGGUCUAGUGGCGCACGGGUGCGUAACGCGUGGGAACCUGCCCUUAGGUUCGGAAUAACUCCCCGAAAGGGGUGCUAAUACCGGAUAAUGUCUUCGGACCAAAGAUUUAUCGCCUUUGGAUGGGCCCGCGUUGGAUUAGCUAGUUGGUAGGGUAAAAGCCUACCAAGGCGACGAUCCAUAGCUGGUCUGAGAGGAUGAUCAGCCACACUGGGACUGAGACACGGCCCAGACUCCCUCCGGAGGGCGGCAGUGGGGAUAUUUGGACAUGGGCGGAAGCCUGAUCCAGCAAUGCCGCGUGAGUGAUGAAGGCCUUAGGGUUGUAAAGCUCUUUUACCCGGGAUGAUAAUGACAGUACCGGGAGAAUAAGCUCCGGCUAACUCCGUG
rnacentral:rRNA from 1 species